GAUUAGGAAGUGAAAUAAGGGCGUACGGGGGAUGCCUAGGCUCACAGAGACGAUGAAGGACGUGGUAAGCUGCGAAAAGUCAGGAGGAGGUGCAAACGACCGUUAAUUCCUGAAUGUCCGAAUGGGGCAACCCACUAUGUUGAAGACAUAGUACCAGAAAUGGAGGUAACCCGGGGAACUGAAACAUCUAAGUACCCGGAGGAGGAGAAAAUAAUUUAAUGAUUCCGCAAGUAGUGGCGAGCGAACGCGGAACAGCCCAAACCAGUACGAUACGUCGUAUUGGGGUUGUAGGACCUAAAUAAUUAAUAAACAUGUAAUUGGAACACAUUUGGAAAAUGUGACCAUAGAGGGUGACAGUCCCGUACAGGAAUCAUGUUUGUUAUGUUGGGUAUCCUGAGUAGGGCGGGGCCGGAGAAACCCUGUCUGAAUUUGCGGGCACCAUCCCGUAAGGCUAAAUACUCCUGUGAGACCGAUAGUGAACCAGUACCGUGAGGGAAAGGUGAAAAGAACCGCGAGAAGCGGAGUGAAAAGACCCUGAAACCGUGCGCCUACAAGCGGUCGGAGCCAUUCGUGGUGACGGCGUGCCUUUUGCAUAAUGAGCCUACGAGUUACUCCUCACUACCGAGUUUAAGAUCUUCAGGAUCGGAGGCGAAGCGAAAGCGAGUCUUAACAGGGCGUAAGGUAGUGGGGGUAGACGCGAAACCUGGUGAUCUACCCAUGGGCAGGUUGAAGUUCCGAUAGUCUCGGAAUGGAGGACCGAACCGGUACAUGUUGAAAAAUGUUCGGAUGACCUGUGGGUAGGGGUGAAAGGCCAAUCAAACCAGGAGAUAGCUCGUACUCCCCGAAAUGCAUUUAGGUGCAGCGUCGUGUAGUGUGUGCCGGAGGUAGAGCUACCAAUAGGGCUAGGGGGCUUCACCGCCUACCAACCCCUGAUGAACUCCGAAUGCCGGCAUUACAGCAGCGGCAGUGAGGCAGUGGGUGCUAAGGUCCAUUGCCAAGAGGGGAACAACCCAGACCAUCAGCUAAGGUCCCCAAAUUUGGACUAAGUUGAAUUGAACGAUGUGGGGAUGCUAAGACAGCUAGGAUGUUGGCUUGGAAGCAGCCAUUCAUUUAAAGAGUGCGUAACAGCUCACUAGUCGAGCGUUCCUGCGCGGAAAAUACUCGGGCAUAAGUCCAGUACCGAAGCUAUGGAUUGUACAUUGUACAGUGGUAGGGGAGCAUUCAAGUUGCAUAGAAGAUGUGAGGUGACUCAUGUUGGAGCGUCUUGAAAAGCAAAUGUAGGCAUGAGUAACGAUAAAAGGGGUGAGAAACCUCUUCGCCGUAAAACUAAGGUUUCCGUAUUCGAUGUUAAUCAGAAUCGGGUUAGUCGGGUCCUAAGGUGUAGCCGCAGGGCGAAGCCGAUGGCAAACGGGUUAAUAUUCCCGUACCCGCUCACACUAAAAGCGACGGAGUAGUGUAGGUAUCGCGUACUGACGGAAUAGUACGUUGAAGGUUGAUUAAAAUUGACCGAUAGUACAGAGAUCCCUUCGGGGUGAUUUGAUAGUGUACCGAAGCGACUUCCAAGAAAUAGCGAGUGAAGCGGCCCGUACCGUAAACCGACACAGGUAGUUGAGGAGAGUAUCCUAAGGCGCUCGAGUGAUUCAUGGCUAAGGAACUAGGCAAAUUGGACGCGUAACUUCGGGAGAAGCGUCGCCCCCCUUGUGGGGGCCGCAGUGAAAAGGCCCAGGCGACUGUUUAGCAAAAACACAGGACUCUGCUAAAUCGAAAGAUGAAGUAUAGGGUCUGACACCUGCCCGGUGCUGGAAGGUUAAGGGAGGGGCUUAGACUUCGGUCGAAGGUCUUAACUGAAGCCCCAGUAAACGGCGGCCGUAACUAUAACGGUCCUAAGGUAGCGAAAUUCCUUGUCGGGUAAGUUCCGACCUGCACGAAUGGUGUAACGAUCUGGGCACUGUCUCGGCCAUGAGCUCGGUGAAAUUGAAGUAUCGGUGAAGAUGCCGAUUACCCGCAACGGGACGAAAAGACCCCGUGAACCUUUACUACAGCUUCACAUUGUGUUAGGGUAUAAGAUGUGUAGGAUAGGUGGGAGACUACGAAGCGGGCACGCCAGUGUUUGUGGAGUCGUCCUUGAAAUACCACCCUUCUUAUACUUUGACACUAACUCCUGGAAAGAGGAGGACCGUGUGUGGUGGGUAGUUUGACUGGGGUGGUCGCCUCCUAAAGCGUAACGGAGGCUCGCAAAGGUUCCCUCAGCAUGGUUGGUAAUCAUGCGAAGAGCGUAUGAGUAUAAGGGAGCUUGACUGAGAGAGAGACAUCUCGACCAGGUGCGAAAGCAGGCUCAAGUGAUCCGGUGGUUCCGUAUGGAAGGGCCAUCGCUCAAAGGAUAAAAGGUACUCCGGGGAUAACAGGCUGAUCUCCCCCAAGAGCUCACAUCGACGGGGAGGUUUGGCACCUCGAUGUCGGCUCGUCACAUCCUGGGGCUGAAGAAGGUCCCAAGGGUUGGGCUGUUCGCCCAUUAAAGUGGCACGCGAGCUGGGUUCAGAACGUCGCAAGACAGUUCGGUCUCUAUCUGUUGCGGGCGUAGGAAUAUUGAGAAGAUCUGUCUCCAGUACGAGAGGACCGGGAUGGACGCACCUCUAGUGUACCAGUUGUGGCGCCAGCUGCAUUGCUGGGUAGCUAUGUGCGGAAUGGAUAAGCGCUGAAAGCAUCUAAGCACGAAGCCAACUUCAAGAUGAGUAUUCCAUGAAGGGUCGUUGAAGAUUACGACGUUGAUAGGCUAUAGAUGGAAGUGCAGUAAUGUAUGGAGUCGAGUAGUACUAAUCACCCGACAGCUUCCUUU
rnacentral:rRNA from 1 species